rnacentral:rRNA from 1 species
AGCAGCCGCGGUAAUUCCAGCUCCAAUAGCGUAUAUUAAAGUUGUUGCAGUUAAAAAGCUCGUAGUUGAAUUUCGGGGUUCUACCGUUGGUCGGGCUUUGUCUGUACUGGCGUGUAGAAUUUCUACCUUCUGGGGAACUAUCAUGUUAUUAAUUUAGCGUAGUAGGAAACCAGGACCUUUACCUUGAAAAAAUUAGAGUGUUCAAAGCAGGCUUAUGUCUGAAUACAUUAGCAUGGAAUAAUAAAAUAGGACGGUGGUCCUGUUUUGUUGGUUUCUGAAUCACCGUAAUGAUUAAUAGGGAUAGUUGGGGGCAUUAGCAUUCAAUUGUCAGAGGUGAAAUUCUUGGAUUUAUUGAAGACUAACUACUGCGAAAGCAUUUGCCAAGGAUGUUUUCAUUAAUCAAGAACGAAAGUUAGGGGAUCGAAGACGAUCAGAUACCGUCGUAGUCUUAACCAUAAACUAUGCCGACUAGGGAUCGGACGAUGUUAACU